rnacentral:tRNA from 1 species
GUCCUUGUACCUCAGUAGGAUAGAGGGUUCGCCUCCUAAGCGAGAUGUCGGCGGUUCGAUUCCGCCCAAGGACG